rnacentral:rRNA from 1 species
UUGCAUCCGCGGUAAUACGUAGGGUGCGAGCGUUAUCCGGAAUUAUUGGGCGUAAAGAGCUCGUAGGCGGUUUGUCGCGUCUGUCGUGAAAGUCCGGGGCUUAACCCCGGAUCUGCGGUGGGUACGGGCAGACUAGAGUGCAGUAGGGGAGACUGGAAUUCCUGGUGUAGCGGUGGAAUGCGCAGAUAUCAGGAGGAACACCGAUGGCGAAGGCAGGUCUCUGGGCUGUAACUGACGCUGAGGAGCGAAAGCAUGGGGAGCGAACAGGAUUAGAUACCCUGGUAGUCCAUGCCGUAAACGUUGGGCACUAGGUGUGGGGACCAUUCCACGGUUUCCGCGCCGCAGCUAACGCAUUAAGUGCCCCGCCUGGGGAGUACGGCCGCAAGGCUAAAACUCAAAGGAAUUGACGGGGGCCCGCACAAGCGGCGGAGCAUGCGGAUUAAUUCGAUGCAACGCGAAGAACCUUACCAAGGCUUGACAUGUUCUCGAUCGCCGUAGAGAUACGGUUUCCCCUUUGGGGUGGGUUCACAGGUGGUGCAUGGUUGUCGUCAGCUCGUGUCGUGAGAUGUUGGGUUAAGUCCCGCAACGAGCGCAACCCUCGUUCCAUGUUGCCAGCACGUCGUGGUGGGGACUCAUGGGAGACUGCCGGGGUCAACUCGGAGGAAGGUGAGGACGACGUCAAAUCAUCAUGCCCCUUAUGUCUUGGGCUUCACGCAUGCUACAAUGGCCGGUACAAUGGGUUGCGAUACUGUGAGGUGGAGCUAAUCCCAAAAAGCCGGUCUCAGUUCGGAUUGGGGUCUGCAACUCGACCCCAUGAAGUCGGAGUCGCUAGUAAUCGCAGAUCAGCAACGCCGCGGUGAAUACGUUCCCGGGCCUUGUACACACCGCCCGUCGA